rnacentral:rRNA from 1 species
AUAUAUCGGCUAUGGAUGAGCUUGCGGGGUAUUAGGUUGUUGGUGUGGUAAUGGCGCACCAAGCCUGAGAUGCCUAGCCGGUUUGAGAGAAUGAUCGGCCACACUGGGACUGAGACACGGCCCAGACGCUUACGAGCGGCAGCAGUGGGGAAUCUUGGACAAUGGGCGCAAGCCUGAUCCAGUGAUAUCGCUUUGGGGAUGACGGCGACAUACGUUGUAAACCCUAUGCACUUUAUAUAGACAUUGACCGUGUAAAGUGUCCAAGUCCCGGCUAAUUUCGUGCCAGCAGCCGCGGUAAUACGAGAGGGGCAAGCGUUAUUCAAAAUGAUUGGGCGUAAAGCGCACGUAGGUGGUGGUAUGGUGUGGUAUGUAUUCAAACCAUGGGUUUUGUCGAUAGAUACAGACAUCAUAUCACUUGAGGACGUGAAAGGAGCAUGGAAUUUCCCAGGAAGCGGUAGAAUGUGUUGAUCUGGGAAGGAACACCAAACGCGAAGGCAGUGCUCUUGCACGUACCUGACAUUGAGGUGCGAAAGCGUGGGGAGCAAAAGGGAUUAGAUACCCCUGUAGUCCACGCUGUCAACGAUGACCAUUCCCUAUAUUCCUGAGAUUCAGGGAUGUGGGUUAGCUAACGCGGUAAAUGGUCCGCCUGAGGAGUACGAUCGCAAGAUUAAAACUCAAAGGAAUAGACGGGGGCUCACACAAGUGGUGGAACAUGUGGUUUAAUUCGAUACUACGCGCAUAACCUUACCAGUUCUUGACAUGAUCCCUAUGGAUCACAG